GUGAAUCAUCGAAUUUUUGAACGCAUAUUGCACUCUCUGGUAUUCCGGAGAGUAUGCCUAUUUGAGGGUCAUUUGAAAUAAUAUAAAUUUCAAGAUUUCUAGGUAUUUAAAAUGGGUGGUUCAUUUUUUGUGGUCGUCUAAAAUCAAAGUCAAGUUAAUUUUGUUGGGUUGCGUGAUACUUUCAGUUUCCUAGUGACUUAACUAGGAAUUAUCGUGAGUGUUAUGAAUUUUGACUGAGAUAAAACGUUUUAUAUG
rnacentral:misc_RNA from 1 species